GUGAACGCUGGCAGCGUGGAUAAGGCAUGCAAGUCGAAUGGGUUUAGACCCAUGGCAAACGGGUUAGUAACACGUAGGGAAUGUACCUCUGUCUAGAGCAUAACUCUCCGAAAGGAGAGCUAAUUCUCUAUGGUCUCGGAGUACGAAAGUACAUCGGGUAAAGAUUUAUCGGACAGAGAACAUCCUGCGUCCUAUCAGCUAGUUGGUGAGGUAAUGGCUCACCAAGGCUAUGACGGGUAGGGGGUGUGAGAGCACGACCCCCAACACUGGGACUGCGACACUGCCCAGACACCUACGGGUGGCUGCAGUCGAGAAUCUUCGGCAAUGCACUAACGUGUGACCGAGCGACGCUGCGUGGAGGAAGAAGGCCUUCGGGUUGUAAACUCCUGUCGUGUGGGAAAAAUUUUGAUGGUACCACACAAGAAAGGGGCGCCUAACUCUGU
rnacentral:rRNA from 1 species